UUAUUUAUUUAUUUACUUUUGAAAAAGCAUCAAAGAAAAAGAAAAAGAAAAAACAGCUCAAAGGUGACCUAUGUUAUACUAGCAACAUUACUAGAAAGGGGUUCUUUCUAAUCCAGUGAAGCUGAGGCAGCCUCUUUCAAACAUGCCCUCAUUAUCUUGUCCAGCUUUGAGCAAGCAUCCAAG